ACUUAGCUGGUUCAGUCAGUAGAGCAUGGGACUCUCAAUCUCAUGAUCGUGAGUUUGAGCCUCAAGUUGGGUG
rnacentral:tRNA from 1 species